UACGUAGGGGCCUAGCGUUGUCCGGAAUUAUUGGGCGUAAAGAGCUCGUAGGUGGUUCGGCAAGUCGGAUGUGAAAUCUCCACGCUUAACGUGGAGGGGCCAUUCGAAACUGCCUGGCUUGAGACCGGGAGAGGUGAGUGGAAUUCCCAGUGUAGCGGUGAAAUGCGUAGAUAUUGGGAGGAACACCAGUGGCGAAGGCGGCUCACUGGACCGGUACUGACGCUGAGGCGCGAAAGCGUGGGGAGCAAACGGG
rnacentral:rRNA from 1 species